GGAUCGCAGGCUGCAACCCGCCUGCGUGAAGUUGGAAUCGCUAGUAAUCGCGGAUCAGCAUGCCGCGGUGAAUACGUUCCCGGGCCUUGUACACACCGCCCGUCACACCAUGAGAGUCGGGAACACCCGAAGUCCGUAGCCUAACCGCAAGGGGGGCGCGGCCGAAGGUGGGUUCGAUAAUUGGGGUGAAGUCGUAACAAGGUAGC
rnacentral:rRNA from 1 species